UACGAAGGGGGCUAGCGUUGCUCGGAAUGACUGGGCGUAAAGGGCGCGUAGGCGGCGGUCACAGUCAGAUGUGAAAUCUCUGAGCUUAACUCAGAGCGGCCAAGUGAUACUGCUGUGCUAGAGUGCAGAAGGGGCAAUCGGAAUUCUUGGUGUAGCGGUGAAAUGCGUAGAUAUCAAGAGGAAAACCUGAGGUGAAGACGGGUUGCUGGGCUGACACUGACGCUGAUGCGCGAAAGCCAGGGGAGCAAACGGG
rnacentral:rRNA from 1 species